CCUACGGGAGGCUGCAGUAGGGAAUAUUGCUCAAUGGGGGAAACCCUGAAGCAGCAACGCCGCGUGGAGGAUGAAGGUUUUCGGAUUGUAAACUCCUUUUUGUAGAGAAGAUAAUGACUGUAUCUAACGAAUAAGCACCGGCUAACUCCGUGCCAGCAGCCGCGGUAAUACGGAGGGUGCCAGCGUUACUCGGAAUGACUGGGCGGAAAGAGAGCGUAGGCGGGGUAGACAGUCAGGUGUGAAAUACUAUGGGUUAACCGUAGAAGUGCAGUUGAAACUGUUAUUCUAGAGUAUGGGAGAGGUAGGUGGAAUGCUUGGUGUAGGGGUAAAAUCCGUAGAGAUCAAGAGGAAUACUGAUUGCGAAGGCGACAUGCUAGAACAUAACUGACGCUGAUGCGCGAAAGCCUGGGGAGCAAACAGGAUUAGAUACCCGGGUAGUC
rnacentral:rRNA from 1 species